UACGUAGGGUGCGAGCGUUAAUCGGAAUUACUGGGCGUAAAGCGUGCGUAGACGGCUAUCUAAGUCGGGUGUGAAAGCCCCGGGCUCAACCUGGGAAUUGCGAUGAAGACUGCAAGGCUUGAAUCUGGCAGAGGGGGGGUAGAAUUCCACGUGUAGCAGUGAAAUGCGUAGAGAUGUGGAGGAACACCGAUGGCGAAGGCAGCCCCCCUGGGUCAAGAUUGACGCUCAUGCACGAAAGCGUGGGGAGCAAACAGG
rnacentral:rRNA from 1 species